AGCGAACGCUGGCGGCAGGCUUAACACAUGCAAGUCGAACGGUCCUUCGGGAUAGUGGCGGACGGGUGAGUAACACGUGGGAACGUACCCUUAGGUUCGGAACAACACAGGGAAACUUGUGCUAAUACCGGAUAAGCCCUUCGGGGGAAAGAUUUAUCGCCUUUGGAGAGGCCCGCGUCUGAUUAGUUUGUUGGUGAGGUAAUGGCUCACCAAGGCUACGAUCAGUAGCUGGUCUGAGAGGAUGGCCUGCCACACUGGGACUGGGACACGGCCCAGACUCCUACGGGAGGCAGCAGUGGGGAAUCUUGCGCAAUGGGCGAAAGCCUGACGCAGCCAUGCCGCGUGGAUGAUGAAGGUCUUAGGAUUGUAAAAUCCUUUCACCGGGGACGAUAAUGACGGUACCCGGAGAAGAAGCCCCGGCUAACUUCGUGCCAGCCGCCGCCGUAA
rnacentral:rRNA from 1 species